UACGGGGGGGGCAAGCGUUGUUCGGAAUUACUGGGCUUAAAGCGUGUGUAGGCGGAUCGUUAAGUACCUUGUGAAAUCCCAUGGCUUAACCGUGGAACUGCUCGGUAUACUGGCGGUCUUGAGCAACCUAGGGGCGAGCGGAACAAAUGGUGGAGCGGUGAAAUGCGUAGAUAUCAUUUGGAACGCCAAUGGUGAAAACAGCUCGCUGGGGGUUUGCUGACGCUGAGACACGAAAGCCAGGGGAGCAAACGGG
rnacentral:rRNA from 1 species